CAGUAGCCGCGGUAAUACGAAGGGUGCAAGCGUUAAUCGGAAUUACUGGGCGUAAAGCGCGCGUAGGUGGUUUGGUAAGAUGGAUGUGAAAUCCCCGGGCUCAACCUGGGAACUGCAUCCAUAACUGCCUGACUAGAGUACGGUAGAGGGUGGUGGAAUUUCCUGUGUAGCGGUGAAAUGCGUAGAUAUAGGAAGGAACACCAGUGGCGAAGGCGACCACCUGGACUGAUACUGACACUGAGGUGCGAAAGCGUGGGGAGCAAACAGGAUUAGAUACCCCAGUAGUCCCUGUCUCUUAUAU
rnacentral:rRNA from 1 species